GGUCCGGCUCUUGAGAACGCGUUCCUUGUCCACUCCCCAGGUAAGACACUCAGGAUUCCGGUGUCCAUGCUUGUCCGUGAAGAAGAUAUCCGGGUUCUCCUUCCCAAUCUCCAGCACCCACUUUGGAAUUGGUAUAUUCACGUCGUCACCGACGUUUCCUCCACAUUGAUGGAACGACAUCACAACCUGGUGAAACACAAGUAAGCUUUCAUCAUAUAUAAGUUGUUCUUACGGUCUUUCAUGUUUUCUCAGUACCUGGAGCUUUAAGUCGGAUUCCUUGACAAUCGUAAAGAGUUCUCUGUAAGCACACCAGUUGUAUUUUUGUGGAGUGUCCUCGACGAGUCCCCACCAACAGUCCACCAUAACUCCAUCGACAUUCACGGAUUUCAGAGCUUGUAAGUCUCUACGUAUACCUUCUGGAUUGACAAGUUCGUUGCUCUCGCUUAUCAGACCCAGCUAAGAAAUGAAUCUCGUCAAGGUAAAAACAUUGCUCGUCCUUUCAUACUUACGGGAAGCAUGACAUAUAUAGGAACAUAUGGAGUUCCUGCGAAAUCACGCUCCUCUUUCUCCUUGAAGAGAAAGCAGAAAAAUCAAACCAAGGUGAGCAAUUGCAAUUAGCUUUACCUCUUCCUUGGUCAUUUCUUCUACGGCAGCAGCGGUGCUUGAAGUGGAUGAUCGCGAGACCAUUUUAUGAGAGGCAAGGUUGGAGACCUUUCUGGCUGUGAUCG
rnacentral:lncRNA from 1 species